UGUUGAUUUAAAGCAGAGUCUCUGGUGCCCAGCGGAAGGAUGAGGAAAAUGUGCUACAUACUCUAUAUUGCUUUAUUUACAGUUCAAAGCUGGUAUAUUACAGAAAGACAUCUUGUCUCUGCCGGAGCAGAAAAAUGCAUCCUCUCUCCUCGACAGCUUGGAGAGAAUCACACAGAGUGAAAAACAGGAAACCAGUGUACGUCACAUCCAGUCUCCCUUUCCCGUGAGAAACUCCAACAGUACAGACAGUACAGACUGUGGAAUGUAAAACAAUGUCUUGUGACUGCAGUUGCUGCUCAGUGAGGGAAAUAGAAACCAACAUCCUCCCCCUUUCUGUGAACAUCACUGGGCAGCGUGUUCGUACAGUAUCAGUACAAACCCAACUUCUGCACAUAGGUACAGUGUUGAUCCCUCGAUACAAUCUUGGACAAUACAUCAGCAGGAAUUUCAUUACCUGGCAUAUAGGACACCGUUACGAGUCCCUUCUGAAUACAUUCCCUAGCAUGCUGCAACUUUAAUUGUAAGUGCUUUGUGCUUUGCUUACAACCUUCAGACUUCAGCAAAGCCAAACAUGCUUUGUUGUCCUGGUAAACCUGGAUUGGACAUUUGACAGGAAUUUUCAUAUCUUUGCACAAUUGUACUAACCAUUCACAAUCCUUAAGUGAAUAAGACAGUGCAUUCAGUUCGGCUUCACAAGUACUUAAGCUAACUGUUGUUUGCUUCUUGCAUGACCAAUCAAACAGACUCUGAUUGUACAUGUAGCAAACUCCAGACGUACUUUUCCUGUCUGUAGCGUCACUUCCAAAACUUGCAUCUGCAAAUAUCUCAAGACCACCAGACUUCUGAUUGUUAAAUCUCAGUCUGUAAUGCAUAGUGCCUUUCAAAUACCGCGCUAUGCGUUUCAGAGCUUUCCAAUCCUUGACACUAGGAUUGUUGACUUGUCUGCUUAGCAAAUUACAGCUAACAGCAAUGUCUGGUCUUGAACAUCUGGCAAUGAAGUUUAGCUUGCCUAGCACACUCCUGUACAGUGUAGUGUCAGAAAAUGCUUCUUCAGUGUCAUCUACCUGAUAACCUGUUGUCAUCGGUGUGUCUACAGGGUUAGCAUCCAUCAGAUUUAGUUUGCUUAACACAUCAGCAAUUUUCCGUGACUGGUGUACUAGAAUGUUACCAUCUUGAUCUCUCUCUAUUUCCAGAGAUAGGUAGUUGUUUACCUCACCAAGAUCUUUCAUGUCAAAGUGCUCUUUCAGUUGAGCUAGGGCGCUAUUGUACAUUGCGACAUCUUUCCAAAAGAAUAAUAAAUCAUCAACAUAAAACAAACAGUACAGUUUCUUUUGCCCCUCCUCUUUGACAAAUACACAUGGAUCAGCUUUCCCUUGCUGAAAACCUAGAGAAAACAAUACUUCAGUGAGUUUUGUGUGCCAACACCGUGCACUUUGUUUGAGACCAUAAAGGGAUUUCUUCAGAGCACAAACAAAUCCCUGUUUUACCUGUACGCCAUCAGGUGGAAGCAUAUAAAGUGAUUCAUCUAGAGAUCCGUACAGAAAAGCUGUAUUAAUAUCAUGGUGACUAAUGUGUAGAUUUUCCUCUGCAGCUAGCUUAAGCAUAAGCCUAAUGCUUUCAUAUCUCACUGUGGGUGAAUAGGUCUCGUGAUAGUCUUGACCUGGUACCUGUGCAAAACCUCUGGCUACCAAUCUGGCUUUGUGUCUGACUAUCUUGCCAUUUUGAUCUGUCUUCGCUUUGAAGACCCAUUUGCUUCAAGCAGUUUCAUUCCUGGAACUACUGGAACUAGCUCCCAUGUUUUGUUCCUUUCUAAGGAAUCAAGCUCAGCCUUCAUGGCAUUUAACCAUGGCUCAGCUUCCUUUGAAUCCAAACCCUGGAUUUCUUGGAAACUUGAAGGUUCAAAUACCUUCUUGGAGCUUUUAACAGCUGUUACUGCUAUCUUAGCAAACUCAUCAGCAAAUCUCUUUGGAGGUUUGCCUUUUGUGGCUCUCUGUGACCUACGAAUUAGCCUUAAGUCUUCAACACUCUCCUCUUCCUUCUUAGGAGAAAAACGACCUAUUGUGAACAAUGGUUCCUCCAAUUCUUGAUCAGAGCUUUCAGAGGGUCGCAUAGAGGCUUUCGCACUCUUGAAAUCCUCUGAAUCACCCGAUUCAGUUUCAGAUUCAGACUCAGAACCUUCAUCAGUGGGUGUGGGUUGUUGUUGUUGCUUUUGACUAUCCUCAGUCUCAUCACCGUCAUCAGGAUAACAUUGGAAAAUUCCCACAUUCUCCCCCCCACUUUGCAUUGUACUCAACACUUCUCGUGAGCUUAAUUGUCUUAGAGUCAGUCAUCAUUAUUCUGUAAGACCCUUUCUGAUAACCUAGAAAGAUACCAUGCAAUCCACGCUUGUCUAACUUGGAGUUUUGUGGUGAGCGAACCCACAUGUCAGAACCAAAAAUCUUCAUGUGUUUGAUGUAUGGCUUCUUGCCAAACAUCUUCUCAUAGAGGUACAACCAAUCGCUGAAGAUAGCCUGCGAUUGUAACUGUAAACAAAACACGAGAGAGAUUCGGCCCAAUAACUCUCUGGAAGAUUGGCAUCAUGCAGCAAGGUUUUUAACCCUUGAAGCAAAGUCUGAUUUGCCCGUUCCGCAAGUCCAUUCUGCCAUGGCGAGCGAGGACUAGACAAAUCGUGUUGAAUUCCUUUCUCAGUCAGAAAAGCUUCAAACUGCUGAGAAGUGAAUUCCCCCCCGCGAUCACUGAAAAGAGUCUUUAUCUUCUUACCAUGCACAUUUUCCAACCAAGCACAGAAUUCCUUGAACCUAGGAAAAGCCUCCGAUUUCUGCUUGAGAUUGUACACAAAAAUAUAUCUAGAAAAUGCAUCAAUGAGAACCAUGAAGUACCUAUUUCCACCCAAAGAGGGCGUUAGUGGUCCAACCAAAUCAGCAUGAACAACCUGGUAUGGUUCUGUAGCUGUCCUACUAGACACCUUACCUUUCGCAGCCAUUUUCACUUUGUUUGCUGCGCAUGCUUUGCACUUCAUGUGGUACCUGCAGGGUUUAAUAGUCAUACCUUCAACCAAGGCAGGCAUUUUAGAUACUGCCUCAAAAUGCAAAUGACCAAAUUUUCGAUGAAAAUCGUGAAUACAUUCUGCAUGCAAACUUUUGUUAGAACCUGCAAUGCAACAAGUGUCAUCCUGCAUCACAUCAUCAUAAUACAAAACAAACAAAUGAUCAACAUAUUCUGCAUGCAAUACAUAAUCAUUUUUCUUUGUGAUGAUGCACUUCUUGUUCUUGAAGGAAACGUCAAUGUUCCGCUCAUUCAGCUGUCCAACGCUGAGCAGAUUAUGUUUGGCGUCUGGCACGUAAAGCACAUUCUGUAUCGAUAAGUCCAAACUGUGAAGAACAACAGUUCCGUAGCCUUUACUGGGAAUAGUGUGGUCAUCCGCCUGGUGAAUCGCACCUUCCUGCGGUGUAAAAGACACAAACAGUUUCUUAUCGUUGCACAUGUGGUGGGUGGCCGCUGAAUCAACAACGAAGAAAGAUCUAGACGUCUUCUGGACCUCUGCAACCUUUGGAGUGAAGCGUGAAACCAUAGCCUUGUGCUGCGUUGUCCUAGACACCGGACCUUUGCCUUUGCCUCGGCCUUUUCCGCGCGAUGAGCUUUCGCUGCGCUGCUCUGUCUUGGCCCUGGGAUGUCUGCAUUCCCUCUUCAUAUGGCCUAGACGUCCACACGAGUAGCAUUUCACUGCCUUCAAGGCUUUGGCGCCAUCUGGUGGUUCCACUGCACUAUGGGAUGACGUCUGUGAAGACUCCCCCUUGCCCAUGCAGCUAGCACCCCGGCGAUCUGCUUCAUUUAAAAUCACGGCAGUAACAAAGUCCACUGUCAGCUGAGCAGUUGCACAGCAAUCUGGGUUGCAACAGACUCCCAACCUGAACCCAAAGAUUGUAGUAUCAUGAAAGAAUACACAGCCUCUGGAAAGUUGAGUCCUCUCUGUUGCAGCUCAUGUCUCAGAUUUUGCAUCUCCAUUAGAUGUAAACGCACAUCUCCACCUUCAGCAAGAGCCAUAUUAUGCAGCUUGUUAAAAUAAAACAUAGUGGAUCCAGCUUCUGUCCUUAAGUGAGCCUCUCUCAGAGCGUCCCAAAUUUCUCUGGCUGAGGUCUUAUCACGCAAUAGACAGAGCUCUUCUGGGGAUACUAUCAAUGUAAGAGUUCCCCUUGCUUUGGAAUCCUUAGCUUUCCAUGCAUCUGUAACUGGAACUGGGGGGGGUUCCUGUAAUCACCUCAAACAAACCCUCUUUCCGCAGAAUUGCCUCUGCAUACUGAACCCAGUCGCUGUAAUUUUUCUUGUUGAGCUUAGGAAUCCCACAAGCAUCCUGAAGGGCCAUCAUGACUCUGGCAUUAGCCUUCAGCGUCAUUAUAUGCUGCUUUAAAUCUUGCUGCGUCACUGCUGCAGCUGCUUCAUUACAAAGGCACACUUAAAAGUUACUUCGAUUUCCCCAGCAUAGUGACUUGUGCCUGGGAGCCUUUUGCCUAUUUGCAAAACCGGCUUUAAAAGUUCAAAGUCCAGCCAUAAAGCCAUUAUCUUGAAGCUGGCAGGCUGCCCGGAGCAGUAGCACAUACCUCAUCAAUCACUUCGACGCGCAGAGCAGAUUCCUUUCCGAUCCGUCCCUCUGCAUUCCGAUCCUUUGCCGGCACUCCGAUUCGACCUCUGGAGUCCAUAACCACGUGUUGAUUUAAAGCAGAGUCUCUGGUGCCCAGCGGAAGGAUGAGGAAAAUGUGCUACAUACUCUAUAUUGCUUUAUUUACAGUUCAAAGCUGGUAUAUUACAGAAAGACAUCUUGUCUCUGCCGGAGCAGAAAAAUGCAUCCUCUCUCCUCGACAGCUUGGAGAGAAUCACACAGAGUGAAAAACAGGAAACCAGUGUACGUCACAUCCAGUCUCCCUUUCCCGUGAGAAACUCCAACAGUACAGACAGUACAGACUGUGGAAUGUAAAACAAUGUCUUGUGACUGCAGUUGCUGCUCAGUGAGGGAAAUAGAAACCAACA
rnacentral:lncRNA from 1 species